AGUACUUACAAUUUAGUUAAAUGGGAUUUACAAUUUAAAUUUCAAAAGGCUUCACACGUUGAGCAAAAACCCUUCCUUCUACUUUCAAUUUGCUGCAGGUUUCUGAUCUUAGCAAUACGAUCUCAGACAAAUCUGCAGCUAAAAUCAUUUAGUAUAAUCUACGACAAUUACAUUUAAAUAUUUCUUGUCCUGAAUGGGAAGGAAAGAACUAAAUGUGGGGGCACGUCUUUUCGUUUUAGCAUUUUCUAGUAGCAGAUACUAUCGAGUCUGGU